rnacentral:rRNA from 1 species
UACGGAGGGUGCGAGCGUUGUCCGGAAUCACUGGGCGUAAAGGGCGCGUAGGCGGCCUGAUAAGUAGGGGGUGAAAUCCUGCGGCUUAACCGCAGGGCUGCCUUCUAAACUGUCAGGCUUGAGCACAGUAGAGGCAGGUGGAAUUCCCGGUGUAGCGGUGGAAUGCGCAGAUAUCAGGAGGAACACCGGUGGCGAAGGCGGGUCUCUGGGCAGUAACUGACGCUGAGGAGCGAAAGCGUGGGGAGCGAACAGG